rnacentral:rRNA from 1 species
CCUACGGGAGGCAGCAGUGAGGAAUAUUGGUCAAUGGACGGAAGUCUGAACCAGCCAUGCCGCGUGCAGGAAGACGGCUCUAUGAGUUGUAAACUGCUUUUGUACAAGGGUAAACCUGAAUACGUGUAUUCAGCUGAAAGUACUGUACGAAUAAGGAUCGGCUAACUCCGUGCCAGCAGCCGCGGUAAUACGGAGGAUGCGAGCGUUAUCCGGAUUUAUUGGGUUUAAAGGGUGCGUAGGCGGUCCGUUAAGUCAGCGGUAAAAUUGCGGGGCUCAACCCCGUCGAGCCGUUGAAACUGGCAGAC